AACAAUGGCAACACCAGUAGCUGUAGCGCUGCUCCGCGGCAACCAAAACACAGUUGGUUUCAAAGAGAGCACCUUCAACCUCUCCCCAUCACAAAUAGAAAGAAAUAAGAGCUUUUAAUUCCAAAAUCCAAUGCCCUGCAACAACAACGCUUCUGUUCUCCACAAUUUCCAAUUUCCUUUGCCAAGCAAACCACCCAUCGUCCCAAACGCCAAAACCGUCUCCUUCGCCUUAGAGAGAAACGAUAACGUACGGAAAGUGGUUCAGAUUAUUCCGUGGGUUGUUGAAGGAGUUUACAUUUUGUUGCUCUUUCUGCUUCCUUAUGCCUCUGGAGAUUUUGUGCUAUCAGUUCAGAGACUGUAUAUUCUCUCAUUGGACUUUCUCUCAAUUUCUUCUUCAUCUUGCCUUUUAUCGAUUCUGAUAUGUCCUUUUGGAACUCACUUCUGAUCGCUAGUAAAAUGAAUAAGUACUUGUUGAGUAUAUUUUAAGCUUGAUGGUUUCGGCAAUGGACUUUCUGGCUAGUGGUCGGCAUAAGUUAUGUUGACGCCCCAGUUCUUCACCCGGUAAGAAUGGUUGGCACUCGGUUCUGUACCCUUUUUACAGUCUAAUGUUGGCGUCGGUGAUUUUUCUUUCUUUUACCCGAUGUCUGAAGGAUUAUUCAACUCUUUUAUUGGGUGGAUUUUCAUGCUCGCUCCUUCGCUGUUCACCGAUUGCAAGAGGGAUAGGUACUGAUGUUAACUGGGUGUUGUAUGGGGCUUCCAGAUGUUCCUUACAAACAGUAUCCUUCCUUCCUUGCACACUCUUGUUUCCUUUUCCAUUCCCUUUAAAACACCACUCCAAGAUUACAAGAUCUUUUAGGAUGAUCACUCGAUUCGGCUGGAUGGCUUUUAAUAGCUAUUGGCGGGGCUGCAUGCCUGAUAUCAGUAUUAUGGGCUCUUUUCGGUCGAAUGGAUGGUGAUUUUGGGAGCGCAACAGACAGAUGGGGUUUUUUGGUUUGUUAUUUAAUCAGAGAGGUUGUUUAUAGUUUCAUUUGGGAUAUAUAUCUCUACAUAAUUUUCCAGCCGUGGCUGGGGUAGCUGAAUAUUUGCAAAAUGCUCAGAAAAGCAAGGUUGAUGUGGUGAGAUAUCUUGGAUUUGUUCCAGUGGUGGGCUUGUUUGCUUAUCUUCUCUGUUUGAAUCUUGACGAGGAACUGUGGCCAAAUGUAGUUCUUUGCUAGAUUUGAGUUAGAGUCAACUUUACAGGUUUCAAACUAGUUUAAAGGCGUGUCUUUUUUUCUUUCAGCAUCUGAAAUUUAAGGGAACUUUGUAUCCCUAUUUAGUGUACAGUAAAUAUACUAGUGAAUACGUGUGAUUAUUACAACGAAGCUCAAUAGUGAGUUGGAGAUGCUUUGCCUGUAUAUUGCUCCUUCUUUUGUUGAAAUGGUCAAAUCCAGAAACAAUACGUGAAAGAACUUUGUUAUAUUGUACGAGAGGAAGCUAUGUAUGAUCACCCCUUUCGUUUUCUUUUCAUUUUUUGUUCAAUGAUGAGUGUUAUGUUUUCAAGUUAUAUGAGCAGAAGUCAAAUGUGAUCGCUCCUUUGUUACAUUGUGUUAUCUUUUCCUCUCUUUUUUGGAUGUUUUUACAGCUGAAACAAAGUUACAAUUGGUGUCAUGCUCAGCUUCAGAGAAAUUAUCUCAGCUUUUCAUUUCAUGUCAUGUUAUAGAUUCCCGUGUGUGCGCUUCCGCUGCUCAAGGGAAUUUGUUAGUAUUGAGUGUUGAGCGAUGAUAAUUCUAUGGAAUUUAGUUGGAGCA